rnacentral:rRNA from 1 species
AUUGAACGCUAGCGGGAUGCUUUACACAUGCAAGUCGAACGGCAGCGCGGACUUCGGUCUGGCGGCGAGUGACGAACGGGUGAGUAAUGUAUCGGAACGUGCCCAGUAGCGGGGGAUAACUACGCGAAAGCGUAGCUAAUACCGCAUACGCCCUACGGGGGGAAGCAGGGGAUCGUAAGACCUUGCACUAUUGGAGCGGCCGAUAUCGGAUUAGCUAGUUGGUGAGGUAACGGCUCACCAAGGCGACGAUCCGUAGCUGGUUUGAGAGGACGACCAGCCACACUGGGACUGAGACACGGCCCAGACUCCUACGGGAGGCAGCAGUGGGGAAUUUUGGACAAUGGGGGCAACCCUGAUCCAGCCAUCCCGCGUGUGCGAUGAAGGCCUUCGGGUUGUAAAGCACUUUUGGCAGGAAAGAAACGUCGCGGGCUAAUACCCCGUGGAACUGACGGUACCUGCAGAAUAAGCACCGGCUAACUACGUG